UACGUAGGGUGCAAGCGUUGUCCGGAAUUAUUGGGCGUAAAGAGCUCGUAGGCGUUUUGUCGCGUCUGCUGUGAAAACUCGGGGCUUAACUCCGGGCCUGCAGUGGGUACGGGCAGACUAGAGUGCGGUAGGGGAGACUGGAAUUCCUGGUGUAGCGGUGAAAUGCGCAGAUAUCAGGAGGAACACCGGUGGCGAAGGCGGGUCUCUGGGCCGUAACUGACGCUGAGGAGCGAAAGCGUGGGGAGCGAACAGG
rnacentral:rRNA from 1 species